rnacentral:rRNA from 1 species
AGAGUUUGAUCCUGGCUCAGGAUGAACGCCGGCGGUGUGCCUAAUACAUGCAAGUCGUACGCACUGGCCCAACUGAUUGAUGGUGCUUGCACCUGAUUGACGAUGGAUCACCAGUGAGUGGCGGACGGGUGAGUAACACGUAGGUAACCUGCCUCGGAGCGGGGGAUAACAUUUGGAAACAGAUGCUAAUACCGCAUAACAACAAAAGCCACAUGGCUUUUGUUUGAAAGAUGGCUUUGGCUAUCACUCUGGGAUGGACCUGCGGUGCAUUAGCUAGUUGGUAAGGUAACGGCUUACCAAGGCAAUGAUGCAUAGCCGAGUUGAGAGACUGAUCGGCCACAAUGGAACUGAGACACGGUCCAUACUCCUACGGGAGGCAGCAGUAGGGAAUCUUCCACAAUGGGCGCAAGCCUGAUGGAGCAACACCGCGUGAGUGAAGAAGGGUUUCGGCUCGUAAAGCUCUGUUGUUGGAGAAGAACGUGCGUGAGAGUAACUGUUCACGCAGUGACGGUAUCCAACCAGAAAGUCACGGCUAACUACGUGCCAGCAGCCGCGGUAAUACGUAGGUGGCAAGCGUUAUCCGGAUUUAUUGGGCGUAAAGCGAGCGCAGGCGGUUGCUUAGGUCUGAUGUGAAAGCCUUCGGCUUAACCGAAGAAGUGCAUCGGAAACCGGGCGACUUGAGUGCAGAAGAGGACAGUGGAACUCCAUGUGUAGCGGUGGAAUGCGUAGAUAUAUGGAAGAACACCAGUGGCGAAGGCGGCUGUCUGGUCUGCAACUGACGCUGAGGCUCGAAAGCAUGGGUAGCGAACAGGAUUAGAUACCCUGGUAGUCCAUGCCGUAAACGAUGA